UACAGAGGUCUCAAGCGUUGUUCGGAUUCAUUGGGCGUAAAGGGUGUGUAGGUGGCGCGCUAAGUCGGGUGUGAAAUUUCGGAGCUUAACGGCCAGGCGCCAUCCCAUACGGCGCGUCUGGAGUGAUGCAGAGGUCGAUGGAAUUGCCGGUGUAGUGGUGAAAUGCGUAGAGAUCGGCAGGAACACCCAGGGGGGAAACCAGUCGACUGGGCAUCUACUGACGCUGAGGUGCGAGAGCGUGGGGAGCGAACCGG
rnacentral:rRNA from 1 species